rnacentral:rRNA from 1 species
AUUGAACGCUGGCGGCAGGCCUAACACAUGCAAGUCGAACGGUAACAGGAAGAAGCUUACUUCUUUGCUGACGAGUGGCGGACGGGUGAGUAAUGUCUGGGAAACUGCCUGAUGGAGGGGGAUAACUACUGGAAACGGUAGCUAAUACCGCAUAACGUCGCAAGACCAAAGAGGGGGACCUUCGGGCCUCUUGCCAUCGGAUGUGCCCAGAUGGGAUUAGCUAGUAGGUGGGGUAACGGCUCACCUAGGCGACGAUCCCUAGCUGGUCUGAGAGGAUGACCAGCCACACUGGAACUGAGACACGGUCCAGACUCCUACGGGAGGCAGCAGUGGGGAAUAUUGCACAAUGGGCGCAAGCCUGAUGCAGCCAUGCCGCGUGUAUGAAGAAGGCCUUCGGGUUGUAAAGUACUUUCAGCGGGGAGGAAGGGAGUAAAGUUAAUACCUUUGCUCAUUGACGUUACCCGCAGAAGAAGCACCGGCUAACUCCGUG